CCCCCGACUCAGUGGCGUCCUCUGCCUGACUCUGUGUUCACUUCUAUAAUAAUCUCCACUCCCUGGGAGCCUGGGGAGCUGGAGGCCAAGCUGGUUCGAUAAGGACCUGCCAUUUGGACAGGACGGGGACGCUGACAACGAUCCAGAGUCACUGGCUGCGUCCUACAUGCAGGGCCCUAUUCAAAGCCUCCACAGCACUGCUCAGCCCAUCUUCCUCACAGUACUGCUCAGCCCGUCUUCCUAACAGCACUAAGCAGGCAAUGCUGCCACCAUCCCCUUUCCAGACCAGAACCCCAAGACUCAAGAGUGGUGGAAUAAUCAGCUCAGACUCCCAGCUGACAUGUGGUGGCACGUGCUCUGGGGUUCCCGGGGUGCUGUAGGGAGCCGGCGCGCAGCUCUCUCGUCCAGGACACACGAGCAGGAGUGACCUGCGUCCAGAAGGUCCAUCACUAGCCCUGGCCAUGUGCUGAGCACCCAGGCGAUGCCACGUGGAAUCCAGGUGAGACAGUCAGCACCACCUCCAUCUGAUGUGUUAGUCUGAAGGCAGCGUUACGUGUUGCAUCUAUUAGACACCAACCCCACACAGAAAACACUGGAAAUCUGGAUACAGUGACAGACACAUACGGAGGGAAGAAGAUGUGAAGACAGAGAGAAGACCGUCAUCAACAAGCCAUGGAAUGCCAGAGGCCACCAGCAGCUGAGAGAAAGGCCUGCACAGACGCUCCCCACAGCCCUCAGAAGCAGCCAGCCCUGCUGACACCUUGAUCUCAGGCACCAGGAACGCUCUUAGAAUUACUGAUGCAAUUCUAUGAUCAACAAGUGACCAACCAACUAACCAACAUUUACAAAGAAAUUGCUACUUGUGUAAUGGUGAACUAAGACAGCAAAACUCAAGAUGAACCUACAAAACAGUAUGCUGAGUGAAGGAAAGCAGACACAAAAGGCCACCUACUGUCUGAUUCCACUUCUAUGAAAUGUCAGAAGAGGGAGGCUCACAGGCAGAAAGCA
rnacentral:lncRNA from 10 species